rnacentral:tRNA from 1 species
GAGGGUACAGCUCAGUGGUAGAGCGCAUGCUUAGCAUGCAUGCGGUCUUGAGUUCAAUCCUCAGUACCUCCA